ensembl:lncRNA
UUGCUAAAGUGUUCUGAAUGUUCAGCACAUUGCUAUGUGGUUGCUAGGGUGUUGUAAAAUGGGUUAGGGUGCUCUGGGAGGUUGGCAGGGUGUUGCUUUGUGGGUCCUAAAGUGUUCUGAAUGUUAAGCAUAUGGCUAUGGUUGCUAGGGUGUUGCUAAGUUGGUAAAGGAGUUCUGGGAGGUUGCCAGGGUGUUGUUAUGUGGUUGUUAAAGUGUACUGAAUGUUUAGCACAUUGCUCUGUGGUUGCUAAGUGGGUUUGGGUGUCCUGGGUGGUUGCCAGGGUGUUGGUAUGCAUUGCUUAAGUGUUCUGAAUAUUGAGUGAGCUGCUAUGUGGUUGCUAGGGUGUUUCUAUGUGGGUUAGGGUGUUCUGGAAAGUUGUCAGGGAGUUGCUAUGUAGUCACUAGGUGCUUGUAAACAUUUAGUUAUGCUGGUGCUAGGGUAUAAUGUGUGGUUGCUAGGGCUUUGUAGUUGCUUACUGGCAAAAGAGUGUCCUCUUCUCUAUGAUAUUCUGCUCUCCUCCUGGUUAGGGUUCCUCUAAUGUAAAUGUAAUGCUUGCCGUUGCAAAUAACAUAAGAUUAAUCUUUCAAAAUAAUAAUAAUAGGACAAAAAAAUCAAAUCAGUCCAUUAUCACCAGAGGGUUUUGAAAUUUUACAGCAAUUAGUUUCACUGUCUGCAACUAUAUCAGUUCAUCCAUCAGAAUGUAAUCUUACAUAAAAUGCAUUGCAUAACCGCCACCGUUUCUCUGUCAUUACUAAUUAUGUUUCAGCGUCUGCCAUGACUUUGUUGGUUGUAAAGACAUGAGUGAUUAUGUUGUGUUAUCUCUAGAGCUGCCUCUCUGACGGAUCGCUGGGCUCUUCUCUUGAUUUUCACGGCCGUUUUCAUUCGAUGUGCUCCUGAUGGUGUCUGCCUACAGGGAUGGUUUCACCACAUCAUCGCCCAGUUUUCGGAGGCUUUGAAAUCCAGACUCAAAAGUGGAGGUGGAUCCCAGCAGGAACAAGGCCCAUCUCUCUGCCCCAGAGGAGACGUACUGCCACAGGGUCCAGAGAUGAGCCUUUGCCCAUCCGCUCUCUGUUCUUGUUACUUAAUGACAUCACAUUCCAGGAAGUGACAUCACUUUGGAGGGAAAACAACAGCACCAACAUCACAUGCGCCGCUAACUGCACCAUAUUGCGGAGAGGCAGGCAGCCCAUCACGGACGUAACUUUGAUUGACAAUCACCUCAGCUGUGGGGCCGUCCCUGGGGCUCGUUUGACAUGCACACUUUUUACGGCCCCUAAGAAUGAUUCUAGCAGACGAGGCUUUGUGCUGGAUGGAAUCUACCCACCUCCAGUAAGUCCAUGUAUCUUCUUUUAUUGGAGUAUGAAGGAAAAUGACAAUGAAAUUUUAUUCCGGCAGAAUUUCAGACGGACAGUUCGAGCUCCCGCGGGGUGGGCGAAAUGCGGCCCAUAUGCGAGCGGCAUGGGCAAACCAAUCCGGAAAAACGGCAAAGGACGAAUCAAAGGAGGAGGGAGCUGUUCCAUUUCUCUGUUUCUUCUGCCAUUGGGAGCUGUUACUCUUGCAUCGUAAGCUGCCUGGCUCAGGGCUCGCCCCCAGCUGGACGCUCUAGACUGGCCCUCUGGGACACGGAAGGACUCUCGGUUCGAAUCCGUAUCGAUCCAUGA